AGUGAACGCUGGCGGCAGGCCUAACACAUGCAAGUCGAACGGCAGCACGGUCAAAGUUUCCUCUUACGUGUGGCGAGUCGAGGACGUGUGUGGUACACCUCGGCAUCUACUUUAUUGUGGGGUAUCACGUCGGGAAACUUACUCUAAUACCACAUACCAUCUACGUGUGAAAGCAGGGGAUCUUCGCACCUUGCUCGAUUGAAUGACCCGAUGUCGGAUUAGCUAGUUGGCGGGGUAAAGGCCCACCAAGGCGACGAUCCGUAGCUGGUCUGAGAGGAUGAUCAGCCACACUGGGACUGAGACACGGUCCAGACUCCUACGGGAGGCAGCAGUGGGGAAUAUUGGACAAUGGGCGAAAGCCUGAUCCAGCCAUGCCGCGUGUGUGAAGAAGGCCUUCGGGUUGUAAAGCCCUUUUGUCGGGAAAGAAAAGCAGCAGGUUAAUACCUCGCGGUGAUGACGGUACCGAAAGAAUAAGCACCGGCUAACUACGUG
rnacentral:rRNA from 1 species